rnacentral:rRNA from 1 species
GACGAACGCUGGCGGCGUGCUUAACACAUGCAAGUCGAACGGUGAUCUUGAGAGCUAGCUCUUGGGUGAUCAGUGGCGAACGGGUGAGUAACACGUGAGUAGCCUGCCCCUGACUCUGGAAUAACUUCGGGAAACCGAAGCUAAUACCGGAUAUGACACAGAGCCGCAUGGUUUCUGUGUGGAAAGUUUUUCGGUUGGGGAUGGACUCGCGGCCUAUCAGCUUGUUGGUGAGGUAAUGGCUCACCAAGGCGACGACGGGUAGCCGGCCUGAGAGGGCGACCGGCCACACUGGGACUGAGACACGGCCCAGACUCCUACGGGAGGCAGCAGUGGGGAAUAUUGCACAAUGGGCGAAAGCCUGAUGCAGCGACGCCGCGUGAGGGAUGAAGGCCUUCGGGUUGUAAACCUCUUUCAGUAGGGAAGAAGCGCAAGUGACGGUACCUACAGAAGAAGCACCGGCUAACUACGUGCCAGCAGCCGCCGUAA